UACAGAGGUCUCAAGCGUUGUUCGGAUUCAUUGGGCGUAAAGGGUGUGUAGGUGGCGCCGUAAGUCGGGUGUGAAAUUUCGGAGCUUAACUCCGAAACUGCAUUCGAUACUGCGGUGCUUGAGGACUGGAGAGGAGACUGGAAUUCAUGGUGUAGCAGUGAAAUGCGCAGAUAUCGGGAAGAACACCCGUGGCGAAGGCGGUUCUCUGGGACGGUACUGACGCUGAGACGCGAAAGCGUGGGGAGCGAACAGG
rnacentral:rRNA from 1 species